CGCAGAGAGUAAGAGGAUUGGCAAGGACCAAUGAGACCGCAGAAGGGGCGGGGCAAAUAGGCGAGCCUUUCUGCUGACUACUACUCGCGCCAGGCUUCUCUUUCCCUCUUAAUUUGCAAAACAAAUUUCUUAUAUUUUAUAAAUUACUUUUAACUAUAGAUAAUUAUUUUAAAGGGGGAAAAAAGCUGAAAGCGGACAGUACCUUUUUGGUCGAUUGUUUGUUCUUGUGGCAAAUACAAUUGUAUUUUUUCUUUAUUCAUAAAAUGUUUUUAUUUAUUUAAUAAGCACAUUGUAGAAAAAAAUGAAUAUAUGUAAAGCCAUUUCAAAUGGUAAAAUACUGUGAAAUCUCUAUUCAAACUAGCUGGGGAACCGAGUAAAAUUAAAUAAAGCGCGAUGAUACAAGAAAAAAUUAUUAAAAACACGUUAUGCCUACUGAAUUUGACGGUACAGUUUUAUUUUUUUCUUUAUAAUGAUUCUUUCUUAAGUUCGACUUAUUUAAUUCUAUAAGUGCUAAGUUGUCUGCGUGGAAAACAAACAAUUUUGAUUUAUUCAUUCUCAUUUAUACACAUAUUUCUUAUACUAUAUCAGUGAGAUAUGAAUAUAACGUUAGGCAGGCUAUAGAUUGAUGAAGAUACAUAGAAAAUAUUGUUUUUCUUGAUAUCAAACUUACAUGUUUAUUCAAACUGAAUCAUCCGCGACACAAAGCCAACAAAACACGACCUAAAUUACAACGAAUUCUGAAAUUUAUAUUAUUUUUUAUUAACUAAUUGGUAGAAAUUACAUACAUGGUUACCAUGGUUACAGCUUUCCAAACAUUAACGACUGAAAUGUUCAUGUGCUGUUUCGACUUAAGUAGCCUACAUAUAAUUAAUACCAUGUCAAAAUCGAAGCAAGAUCAACUGUACGAGUUGAAUAUGCGGAGAGAGACCUGGUGUUGCGUGGAGGCAACCAGCAGAUCUUGGAAUUUACCAGAAAGAAAACACUUCCGUUGUCACCUCAGGAGAAGCAGUGAGUUCAGCGCGAUGCAGACUGCGAGUCCCGAGCAGAGGUGCUCCUGGAUGGGCAGCAACAACAACAAACAUCCCGAGAGAAAGCAUUUCGAAGACAGCUAUAAUGCUCACCUAGUGUGAGGAACUGCAAUCAACUACAGUGCAGACUGCAGAGCAAAUGUUUUUCUCCAGACACUGCAAUAAACAUGUAUAAUCAACCAAUCUGGCAAUAUUUUUUUAUUUAAACUAU